UUCAAAAACUACUGGCCCUGUGGGCCAGUGCAAAUUUCUGGGCUAUGUCAACCCCUGAGAUGGCUGAGGGAUUUCCGUUCUUCUUUUUAGCUUUUUGUUCUAGCAAUGCUUGGGCUGGGUGCAUACUUGAUCACGGCGUAGUCUUGGUGAUUUGGUCCUGGACAAAUCAGAAGGUAAACCAAAUGCAAUAGUAAUUGAUGUAAAAGAAAUUCAAAAGAGUAACCACAUGUGUGACUCCCCUGUUGCAUUAUAGGAGGAUAAACUGAUUUAAAGUAAGAGAUUAUGUAUAGGUAAAAUUGGUCAAGCUGAAGACCUGGUUUCAGCCUAAAGGCUCCUAUCAAGUACUUCUGACCACACAAACAGUGGUUAAAAACUUGCUAAUUGACCUAGCUGGAUCCACCUGUCUCAUUGUAAAUUCUGUAAGUUUCCUGAAGGGUCACCCACCGCUGCAGAUGAGGCCCAAGUCCGGCUACAAAGGGGGACGGGACGUAUAGUGUCCCUGACGUCUCAAACCUGUGAAGCUCUUUAUAAGGGCUCUGCAGCACUUAGGGAGAGACCUGAAAGGACUUACAGACUUGAACUGAGCAGAGACGACACAGAGCACAAUUUUCAAAUAAAAAAAAUAAAAAUCAUGGGCCUUGCAGUUUUCAAGGAACCGUAGCCUUUUUGUUUGUCCUGACAAUUGUGAUUGUGUUCUUCUAGCUUAUAGCAUUUUGGAGCAAAACAAUGAAGCACUGAAGCCCCCACCAAAGAAAAGCCCACACACUUUGUAAACCAUGAGCCCCUUGACACGUUUUAGAGGAGUCAAAGUCCUUGACGUACAGCAAUUAACUGUAGGUUGUUCUUAAUUUGUUAUUUAUUUUUCAUCCUCAAAAAGUAUAGUUAAAAUACCGAUGAGCAGUAUCAAUAAUAGUAGUAGUACCGUUAAAACCUUGAUAUCCAUCCCUAGUCCCAGGCCUCUACGCCAAAUAGUUGCUCCACUCCCUGAAUUAAAUGAAGCAUGUAUAGUUUAAAUGAUGAGAACAUUAACCACGAAAACUUCAUGCUCACCUUUGGACAAAAUGUUUGCACCAAAAAAAACAGAAAAGAGACUUUAGCACCAAUGUUACUGCAAACCAUUUUACUUGUUUUGUCUUUGCAGGAAGUAGGCCUGGGCGAUUAAAUGAAGUAAUUCAAUUUUUUUGUUACGGGCGAUUUAAAAAAUAACUAAAUCGAGUUUUUGUGUAAUGCCGCAUUUUUGGGCUCCCUCUAGCUUCCCCAGCGUUAGUUUCACAUGCCAGUAUGGCAAGCGACAAACAUACCAAACAGCAAGCGACAACAUGGCUACCGGUGAGAGUGGAAAGUUUGUUACCAAGAAAAGAAUAAAAUCAUCUGCUGUUUGGAACUGGUGUGGUUUUCCUGCGAAAGAUGUGAAGCAAGAGACCCCAUGCUGCAACUUUUGCCUAAAGCCUAUCACAAUCAACGAUAGCAGCACCACAAACUUAUUCCAACACCUGAAACAGAGACAUCUAGCCGAAUAUGAAAAAAGACACUCUCCGAGAAGAACAAAACUGCAGUCACCAAAAAAGACAUUGCUAAAAAACAGCUAACUGUAGCCGAAUCCUUUGCACAAGGCACCUGCAGCGCAUAUGGCAGGAAAGGAGAACGGUGGAGAACAGUCACCGAAGCGGUCGCUUUGCAUUUGGCCAAAGACAUGGUACCCAUAUAGACCGUGGAGAAGAUGGGGUUUAUUAAUUUAAUUAAAACAUUAGACCCCAGAUAUGAGCUACCCAGCUGCAAGUACUUCAGUGAAGUCGCCUUGCCCCAGCUGUACAACAACACACCAAAGAAAGUCAGCACAGAAAUGGAGGAGCUGUCCUUUUAUUCGGCAACAACCGACAUGUGGUCCAGUCGGACUAUGCAACCUUAUGAGUUUAACGGUGCAUUUCAUUAACGAUGCGUGGGAUUUGCGGAGUACUUCCCUCCAAAGGUCAUACUUUCCCCAGGACCACACCAGGGAACUUGUUGCCAAGGGAUUGAGAGACACUCAAAAAACUCCCUACUGACAGCGGCACCAACAUGAUUAAAGCCCUGAGAGUGAACGGAUUGCCAAAUCUCCAGUGCUUUGUACACAGACUACACAGCGCUAUUGGCCAGGGAGUGAUUCUAGUAUGGGCCACAUUGAUGACAGCCUGUGCUCAUCCACCCACGAUGUCACCACCCCUCUGACGCAAAGCACAGCAGACACCUGGUGGUGCUGUGGUGGUGACACCCUCUGCAGCGCGUUUCUGGGAAAGAUCAAGACCUAUCAAAGAGAGCAGUACGUCACAAACCGUGAGAGAUGACGCCACCUACAUCUAUGCCAUUGGGGUCCUCAGAAGUGUUCCAGACAAGUACAAGAUGGCAGACAAAGUUUCAGCUGGCUUUGAGAACGUCUCAAUCAUAAGUGCACGGUUCCCUGUUGCACCUAACAAAGCAGAGGAGCCCUGGACAUGCUUCUGGCUGAGAAAGACUGAAGACAGUAGAAACGUCGGAUGACGCCCCUUCAGAUGUUUAGAGGAGCUGCAGAAGGAGGUUCUGGAGGGUGUCCAGGUCCUGACAGGACUUCCUCACAGCUCCAGAGUCAUGCUGAUGGCACUGUUAGCACCGUUGCUGCCCACCGCUGCCACCCCCUCUCAACCCCCUGCACAGGGUGUCUACUUUUACGUCCUCACUGCUCUCCGUACCGUUCUUAUGAUGUCCUCUCUCACGUCCUCUUUACCGAAGUCACACAAACGCAUUAAGCGCACCGCACCAUAGGGCAAUGCUUACAUUUUGGAGAAGAUUCAGGACUCUAAGACUUUUUCAGUUUGUCAAGAUGGAUCGACAACGGCAGUGGCACACGGAAAAGAUGCAUUUUAAACAAAAGUGGGAGGAGGAUUAUUUUUUUGCAGAAAUCUCUUCUAAGGCUGUUUGUCUUAUUUGCCAGCAAUCCGUGGCCGUACUGAAAGAGUACAAUAUACGUCGCCACUACCACUACUACGAGACUGAAGACGCUGUCUUCUCCAGAUACAAAGGAAACUUGGCACACUAACCCCAGCCUGACGGAAGUGAAUGUAGAGGUGGACAGGUUGCCAGAAUAUGGAGAACUUCUCAGCAACUUAAACAAGGAGUUUGAUUUCCGCUUUGUGGACUUUAAGAAGACCGCAGAUGACAUGGAACUUUUUUCUCAGCCCUUCAGCAUCACUGACGGGAACUCCUGAUGCACCUGCAGCUCCUCUCCACUCAUCCAGUCUGGAUUUAAGACCAGCGUUUCCAGCCUUUUCCUACAAGUCUGUCAGCUAACUUCCAUAGAUUCCCUCCUGGAUCAUCGUCGUUUUUUUUGGGACAGCAGUGACUCCUCACCACAUCACUCCUCCUCUUUGACCACGACAGAAUCAGGAGGAACCACUCAUUACAGCAGCCAGUAGCAUAAUAAAAAAUGUAAUAAUAAAUAACAUAAAAUGUUGUGUUUAUUGAAGGAAAAUAUCCCCCAUUUUGAAAUGUUGUUUGGAACAAACAAAGAUUUACAUUACUUUAAGUUGACUUUUAAUAAAACAUUGAUUGAGAUGAA